rnacentral:rRNA from 1 species
GUCGAGCGGGCGUAGCAAUACGUCAGCGGCAGACGGGUGAGUAACGCGUGGGAACGUACCUUUUGGUUCGGAACAACACAGGGAAACUUGUGCUAAUACCGAAUAAGCCCUUACGGGGAAAGAUUUAUCGCCGAAAGAUCGGCCCGCGUCUGAUUAGCUAGUUGGUGAGGUAACGGCUCACCAAGGCGACGAUCAGUAGCUGGUCUGAGAGGAUGAUCAGCCACAUUGGGACUGAGACACGGCCCAAACUCCUACGGGAGGCAGCAGUGGGGAAUAUUGGACAAUGGGCGCAAGCCUGAUCCAGCCAUGCCGCGUGAGUGAUGAAGGCCCUAGGGUUGUAAAGCUCUUUUGUGCGGGAAGAUAAUGACGGUACCGCAAGAAUAAGCCCCGGCUAACUUCGUGCCAGCAGCCGCGGUAAUACGAAGGGGGCUAGCGUUGCUCGGAAUCACUGGGCGUAAAGGGUGCGUAGGCGGGUCUUUAAGUCAGGGGUGAAAUCCUGGAGCUCAACUCCAGAACUGCCUUUGAUACUGAAGAUCUUGAGUUCGGGAGAGGUGAGUGGAACUGCGAGUGUAGAGGUGAAAUUCGUAGAUAUUCGCAAGAACACCAGUGGCGAAGGCGGCUCACUGGCCCGAUACUGACGCUGAGGCACGAAAGCGUGGGGAGCAAACAGGAUUAGAUACCCUGGUAGUCCACGCCGU